GACGAACGCUGGCGGCGUGCUUAACACAUGCAAGUCGAACGGAAGGGCCCUGCUUUUGUGGGGUGCUCGAGUGGCGAACGGGUGAGUAACACGUGAGUAACCUGCCCUUGACUUUGGGAUAACUUCAGGAAACUGGGGCUAAUACCGGAUAGGAGCUCCUGCUGCAUGGUGGGGGUUGAAAAGUUUCGGCGGUUGGGGAUGGACUCGCGGCUUAUCAGCUUGUUGGUGGGGUAGUGGCUUACCAAGGCUUUGACGGGUAGCCGGCCUGAGAGGGUGACCGGCCACAUUGGGACUGAGAUACGGCCCAGACUCCUACGGGAGGCAGCAGUGGGGAAUAUUGCACAAUGGGCGGAAGCCUGAUGCAGCAACGCCGCGUGCGGGAUGACGGCCUUCGGGUUGUAAACCGCUUUCGCCUGUGACGAAGCGUGAGUGACGGUAAUGGGUAAAGAAGCACCGGCUAACUACGUG
rnacentral:rRNA from 1 species